GGCACAGGUAACACCACCUGGGCACAGGUAAAAUCACCUGUGUGCCACGCACAGGUACGGCCGCUCACCUGGGGACAGGUAACAUCACCUGUGCACAGGUACGGCCUCACCUGGGGACAGGUAACAUCACCUGGGCCCAGGUAAAGUCACCUGUGCACAGGUAAAGCUGCUCACCUGUGACCCCCUCACUUGCACACAGGUACAACUCACCUGUACGGGCAAUAUCCCCUCACCUGUGCUCACCUGUCCAGGCACACCUGUGCUCACCUGUACAGGUACAACCCUCACCUGCGACCCCUCACCUGUACAGGUAACAUCCCCUCACCUGUCCAGGUAACACCUGCACUCACCUGUGACCCCCUCACUGACAGGUACCGCUCACCUGAACAGGUACAACCCUCACCUGAGACCCCUCACCUGUACAGGUACAACCCUCACCUGCGACCCCUCACCUGUACAGGUAACAUCCCCUCACCUGUCCAGGUAACACCUGCACUCACCUGUGA